rnacentral:lncRNA from 1 species
CACGCUGAGCCUCGGGGGCGGCAAUGCCGGCGCCUCCCACCCGUUCUUGCCCCGGUGCUGCUCGUCGGAGCCGGAGUCGGAGUCGUCGUCCUCCUCGCCUUCGUCCCCCUCGGGGAGGGCGUGGUCGGGGGCCAGGAGCGGGGGCAGGUAGGUGGCCGUCGCCAGCGAGCUGCAGGAGGCGCGGCGCGACCAGGUGGCCAGGAUGCGGCGGCGCUUGUUGAAUGGGUUCUCCGGCUUGGCCAGCUCCUUCACGGCGUCCCGCGCCGCCGCCUCGGCGAGGCUGGUGAAGGACUUGGACUUGCCGGCGUAGAAGCUCGACAGCCCGUUCCUGAAAAAUCACACCAAAACGAAGGAUCAAUUUCCCAUACUCCUCUCUUCCUCCCUCGAUCAAAUCAACCGCAAUUGAUCUCUAAACAAGAUGAAAGCUAAUACGAAUUUCCUGCUACAACUUUCGCAAAUCGAUCGAAGAAUCCCCAAAAAAGAUCUUCUUUUUUUCCUCAUUUUGGGGGAGCAAGAAAGAAGCAUAUUCUGAGAAGCAUUUGACUCACUUGAUGGGCAAGGAGUCCUCCAAGGCGUCCAGGCAGCCGAGCCCGGGCUCCUCCUUGAGCUUGCUCUCCACCUCAUCGUCUUCACCAUCGCCACCAACCUCCGACGAGGAGUCCUCGCCGAUGGAGGAGCUCGACGGCGACGGCGCGCCGAUGGAGGAGCUCUCGGUCAGC